rnacentral:misc_RNA from 1 species
GGAUUACAGCUUAGUGGAGCUUGGAGUAUAGGUGCUCCUCUGAGUUCAUUUUGAGCCUCUGGGUACUCUUGAGAGUACUGACUCUUACGCGGUUGGUUACAUGUGGUUUGAAGGUCUUUUCUGAGGGUUUUUCUGUUGGAGGUUACGGGAGUUGUGUGUGUCGGUGUAUUGUCGUGGAGCUUCACUUGGAGUUGUCUGCGUCUCAGAGCAAGUCGUGGGGAUUAUGUCUUUUGGCUGUCCGUUCGUUUUCCUCUUCACCUUUCUGCUUGUACAAUAGGUCUUGUAGAGCUCCAGUGCUAUUCUUAGUCGACCGUGAGGACGGCUUUCGGGGGAACCCGGCCGGUAAGAUUAAGUGCAUUGGAGUUUCUGCUGAAAUCUGUAUCGUAUAAGGAGGAUAAGGGUGGGGCAGAGACGUAUGGGCCUGUCUAGGGAUGUGACUGUCAUGCGCUUUUCUGAGAAGCAACUUCUCUAUUAACGGUGGAUUUGUGCGACACUUCUCCAUUGCUCACUUCCUCUCUAAUGGAGGGCCCUACGUAAGGAUGUCGGUCCAGUAUGUCUGCGAUUGUUUCUGUGGUGGACCUCGCGCUGUUAUAAGAAAUAUACCCGUUUCGCUUCUGGUUUUCUGAGCAGGAAGAUAUAUUUCCAGUGAAGAUGCACCAGGAGCAACGGCUGGGAAUGGCAGCGGAUUAAGAAAGCCACUGAAAACUCUCGCAGGUGCAUUGGGUAGAGAAAGCCUGCGUAUUUUCUUUCCACAUAUUCCUACAUCACUAUGAAGGGUGGAGCUUUCCUCUCUUCAGAGAUGUUCCGUAGUUCUCUGGGGUGCUUAGUUUGAUCAUGUGGUGCGUCUUCUUCUUAGUUUCACGGCUUGGCUCACACACUUUGUCGCUUUAAACCUGCCAUUUCCGCUCUCUUAAGAGAGUGCAUUGGUGUGAGGCGAGGUGUCAAAAUCGUGGUGAGGCUUUAUUCAGUGCAAUUGUAGGACUUGUCGUCUCGUUAGAGAUGAUUUGA